UACGUAGGGUGCGAGCGUUAAUCGGAAUUACUGGGCGUAAAGCGUGCGCAGGCGGUGAUGUAAGACAGAUGUGAAUCCCCGGGCUCAACCUGGGACCUGCAUUUGUGACUGCAUCGCUAGAGUACGGCAGAGGGGGAUGGAAUUCCGCGUGUAGCAGUGAAAUGCGUAGAUAUGCGGAGGAACACCGAUGGCGAAGGCAAUCCCCUGGGCCUGUACUGACGCUCAUGCACGAAAGCGUGGGGAGCAAACAGG
rnacentral:rRNA from 1 species